CGCCGUGCGCUGACGCCCUCCCCGCGCGGCGCGGUGUCCGGCGGUCGGCUGCAGGCACGUGGGGAGCGCCCGCCGGCCCGGGCGGCGCGGGUCCCGCCAUGAAGUUUCGGGCCAAGAUCGUGGACGCGGCCUGUCUGAACCACUUCACCCGGGUCAGUGCCAUGAUCGCCAAGCUGGCCAAGACCUGCACGCUGCGCAUCAGCCCGGAGAAGCUGAACUUCGUGCUGUCGGACAGAGUGGCCAGCGCAGGGGUGAGCAUGUGGUGUGAGCUGGAGCAGGAGAACUUCUUCAGCGAGUUCCAGAUGGAGGGCAUCUCUGCGGAGAACAACGCCAUCUAUUUAGACCUAACCGCGGAAAAUUUAUCUCGAGCUUUGAAAACGGCCCAGAACGCCAGAGCCUUGAAGAUCAAGCUGACUAAUAAGCACUUUCCCUGCCUCACGGUCUCAAUAGAGCUGUUAUCUGUGUCGAGCAGCAGUCGCGUGGUGACCCAUGACAUCCCCGUCAAGGUUAUUCCUAGAAAGCUGUGGAAGGAUUUGCAAGAACCUACCAUCCCAGACUCCGAUGUUAGUAUUUACUUACCAGCCUUGAAGACGAUGAAGAGCAUCGUGGAAAAAAUGAAGAACAUCAGCAAUCACCUUAUCAUGGAAGCAAACCUCAGCGGAGAGUUGAACUUGAAAAUAGAAACAGAACUAGUGUGUGUCACAACUCACUUCAAAGACCUUGGGAACCCUCCGCCCGCCUCUGAAGACGCGUCUCAGGAGAGACCCCCCGAGCAGAUGGCUGAAGUGCACAUAGACAUCCGGAAGCUCCUGCAGUUCCUCGCUGGACAGCAAGUGAACCCUACGAGGGCUGUGUGCAGGCAUCUGAAAGGGAGCCACACCUUCCACAGAGGAGCCGGCAGGCUGAGCACCCGGCCAACUGGGAGCGGCGCUCAGGACGGCCCAGGAGCGCACCUGACGGGAACAGAAAAUUACCUCGUCAGUAACAAGAUUAUCCACUUUGAUUUGCUCCACGAGGACGUUUCCCUGCAGUACUUCAUCCCAGCCCUAUCAUAUACCGGUCCCUGCCCGGGAGCUCGGGGCUGCGCCGUGCUGGCCGUGGGCCAUGUGUAGAGCCAUGAAAGUCUGUGCAUUUUACUUCUUCAGAAAUUUUCUGGCUAAAAGUUGGGUUAAUGAAAGACAGUUGGAUAAACAUACUACAUUUUAUUCUCCCUUGUUCUCGUGUCUGUUUUGUUGUCAAGAUGUGGAAAAUGAGGAAAAGAGACUGUGUUUAUCCAGACUUCAGUAAGACUUGGAAAUCAUGAUGUUCAGUGAAGCAGCCUGAAGAUAGUUCAUAAACCUUUUUUUUGCUGUGAUAGUUACCGACCUGGGAAGUUGGUCACUGCUGAUUAUCCAAAUGAUGUUUCGCACAGAGUGAGUGUACAGUACUGGUUUGUAGCACGAGGUGGUGGCGCAGUGGCUCCUGGCCGCCCCCUGUGGCCACCGCGCCUCAGCUCCUCCAGCGUCCGGCGUGUGUAUUUUUGCAUCCCACCUUUGGGCAUCCGGUGUUGCUGGAGGGCCUGUCCAGGCUGGAGCGGCACAGACGCCUGAGAUCCUUUGUCAGAGUGGAUCUUGCAGUGCACCCAGGCACGCCGAGCUGGUGGCAGGGAUGGCACUCGAAUCCAGGCCUCUGACGCGUGAUCGGUGGCCCUCUCUCCAGGCUUCGCUGUGCGUCCAGAGUAACGAAUCCUACACGUUUCAGGCUCCGUGUCCACCAGUCACUUCACGAGUCUGGGAAGAGCGUCUUCAUUUUAACUCUGCUGUGGUCAAGUAGCUUUGCACGCAGGUUCUAAAGUGCUGUAAACCCACAGGUGAUUUCUUUCUGCGUGUAGAGUUGUGUUGAUGGUUUCGGGGCUGGCCCAAGUCUCCGUGUGGGCAAGGCCACCCAGGCUGUCUCCGGGGGUCAGGACGCGGGGGUCUUUGUCUUCCGCUCGGCAGGACGCCCUGCUUCGUGCUUCCCUGGGUCUCAGAGCCUUGACUGAGGACGGCUUUCUCUCCCACGGGUGCUUAGGGAAACCAGCAAGCUGCUGUGCUGAGCAGUAACCACUGCAGUUCCGUUAGCUCAGGUUAGAAACGUGAACAUAACUUGAACAGUUAACAUAUUUUGAGACUCGUCUGUCCCAGUGCUGAGCCCCUCAGUCACGUCCUGCACCCGGGAGACUCGCUCUGCGGCUUCCGUCGUGUGGGGCUGGCCAGGUGCCGAGCGGCCUUCCAGUUCUCGGUGGAUGGCAGAAGGGCAGAGCUGCGCUUGGAAUCGUGGCCUUUUAUGGGGGUCCCGAUGGGAGAUCUGAAAGGAAGCCUGAGCUCUGCUGGGUUUUUUGGCUUCUCCACGUGAACCCUGAGCUAGGAUGUGGGUCAGGAUGGGAUACGGGAGAGACAUUAACCCUGCAGCCACUGCUGGGCUCUGGUUGGGUUUUUACGUGUGGAAAAGCCUUAGAAAGGGCUGUCUGCCCUUUGACCCAAUACUUUUUAUUAUAGGGAUUUACACAGAUAAUUAAAGGUGUUCUGUAUUGUUGUACCAAAAUCCCUGAAAUAUCCUAAAUAUGAAUUCAUAGGGGAUCUGUUAAAUAACCUAUGGCUCGACAGUGUUUUCUGCUCUCAAAGUAACGUUACAGAAACAACAUACUGACAUGGUGCAGUGUUUAUGAUCAUAGCUACAGGUGGUAUGACCGGACUCCAGGUCUGAGAAUAGCCACGUACGUGUGGGUGUCAGAAAAAGGUUGGGGGACGCCCAGGGGCUCCGUGGUGGAGCGCCUGCCCUCAGCCCAGGCCGUGACCCCGGGGUCCAGGGAUCGAGUCCCACGUCGGGCUCCGCACAGGGAGCCUGCUUCUCCCUCACCUGUGUCUCUGCCUCUCUCUCUGUGUCUCUCAUGAAUAGAUGAAAUCUUUAAAAGAAAAGAAAAAGGUUGGAAAAAUAUGCAGCAGCACUUAAACCUGAUGACUUGUGAAUGUUUCAUUUUGGUCUUUGUAAACUUAAGUAUUUUCUAAAACUCUUCUAGUCGGUUUUGUAAUGAAAAAAUAAAUUAUUUUUUAAGGGA